rnacentral:rRNA from 1 species
UCUCCUACGNGGGGGCAGCAGUGGGGAAUAUUGCACAAUGGGCGCAAGCCUGAUGCAGCCAUGCCGCGUGUGUGAAGAAGGCCUUAGGGUUGUAAAGCACUUUCAGUGGGGAGGAAAGGUUGAAGGUUAAUACCCUUUGGCUGUGACGUUACCCACAGAAGAAGCACCGGCUAACUCCGUGCCAGCAGCCGCGGUAAUACGGAGGGUGCGAGCGUUAAUCGGAAUUACUGGGCGUAAAGCGUGCGUAGGCGGCCACCUAAGUUGGAUGUGAAAGCCCCGGGCUCAACCCGGGAACUGCAUCCAAAACUGGGUGGCUGGAGUACGGGAGAGGAGUGUGGAAUUUCUCGUGUAGGGGG